rnacentral:rRNA from 1 species
GGUUUUUGAUUUGCUUAUUGCACCACAUGUGUUUUUCUUUGAAACAAACUUGCUUUGGCGGUGGGCCCAGCCUGCCGCCAGAGGUCUAAACUUACAACCAAUUUUUUAUCAACUUGUCACACCAGAUUAUUACUAAUAGUCAAAACUUUCAACAACGGAUCUCUUGGUUCUCGCAUCGAUGAAGAACGCAGCGAAAUGCGAUACGUAAUAUGAAUUGCAGAUAUUCGUGAAUCAUCGAAUCUUUGAACGCACAUUGCGCCCUCUGGUAUUCCGGAGGGCAUGCCUGUUUGAGCGUCGUUUCUCCCUCAAACCGCUGGGUUUGGUGUUGAGCAAUACGACUUGGGUUUGCUUGAAAGACGGUAGUGGUAAGGCGGGAUCGCUUUGACAAUGGCUUAGGUCUAACCAAAAACAUUGCUUGCGGCGGCAACGUCUACCACGUAUAUCUUCAAACUUUGACCUCAAAUCAGGUAGGACUACCCGCUGAACUUAAGCAUAUCAAUAAGCGGAGGAA